UACGAAGGGUGCAAGCGUUAAUCGGAAUUACUGGGCGUAAAGCGUGCGUAGGCGGUUUGUUAAGUCCGAUGUGAAAGCCCUGGGCUCAACCUGGGAAUGGCACUGGAUACUGGCGAGCUAGAGUAAGGUAGAGGGUGGCGGAAUUCCCGGUGUAGCGGUGAAAUGCGUAGAGAUCGGGAGGAACAUCCGUGGCGAAGGCGGCCACCUGGACCAUUACUGACGCUGAGGCACGAAAGCGUGGGGAGCAAACAGGAUUAGAAACCCCAGUAGUCC
rnacentral:rRNA from 1 species